rnacentral:miRNA from 1 species
CAGCAGACACAUUCCAGCCAAUCAGCAGACCCUCCCUCCCAGACCCUCCCACCUCCUGGACAGCUCACUAAGAAUGCAGCUUCAAAAUGGAUGCUGUCCAGGAGGUGGGAGGGCCUGGGAGGGAGGGUCUGCUGCUGAUUGGCUGGAAUGUGUCUGCUG